rnacentral:rRNA from 1 species
UACGUAGGGGGCAAGCGUUGUCCGGAUUUACUGGGCGUAAAGAGCGCGUAGGCGGAAGCUUAAGUGUGGCCUGAAAGCCCCCGGCUCAACCGGGGAAGGUGGCUGCAAACUGGGCUUCUUGAGGGGGAUAGGGGAAAGUGGAAUGCUUGGUGUAGAGGUGAAAUUCGUAGAUAUCAAGCGGAACACCGGUGGCGAAGGCGGCCUUCUGGACAGUGACUGACGCUGAGACGCGAAAGCGUGGGGAGCAAACAGG